rnacentral:lncRNA from 1 species
CACCAUGUUAGGACACGGUGAGAAGUCAACAUGAAAAACCAGAAAUCGGGCCCUCACCAGACCCUGAAUCUACUGGAGCCUUGAUCUUGAACUUCCCAGCCCCCAGAACUAAAAUGCAAUUCUUGACUUGAGAUGAAUCAGUUCCCCAAUUUAUACUUCAUUCGUGGAAACUGGGUCUUGGGCAACAUCUCAGCAAUUCCUUCCAAUCUGAAGUUCUCUCAUCUGCUGGUAACCGGUCCAUUCCUAUUGGCGUUCAAGCAAUCACAAACACAUCCUACUUUUGAGAAAUGUUCCAAAGGAGGAGUCAAAGCGGCUGUAAUCUUGAUUCGGUUUUAUGGGCAAUAGAAUUAUUUUACUGAUUCCUGGAAUCAUGGCUCCUAUACAUCUGCACUCUAUGAGCACUUUGGAAAUUAAAGGAUUGCCAGCUUUUCCACUUUGGGACAAAAAACAUUUGUGCUAAACAGCCGUUCUGGAUGCUGGGAAGUGUAAGAUCAAGAUGGUGGCAGGUUCGACUGGUGAGAGUUGCAUUCUCCAGAUGGAAGAAACAUUGUGUCCUCAUCUGGUGGAAGGUGGAAGGUUAAACUGAGAAGCUCUUCAGAGACAAUUCUGGUAAUAUGCCAUUUCAGGCACGUCUUUGUGUUUUGCUUUUGGAUUUUUAAUGAACUAGAUUACAUCUGAAAAUACCAA